UGGGGAAUAUUGGACAAUGGGCGCAAGCCUGAUGCAGCCAUGCCGCGUGUAUGAAGAAGGCCUUCGGGUUGUAAAGUACUUUCAGCGAGGAGGAAGGCGUUGUGGUUAAUAACCGCAGCGAUUGACGUUACUCGCAGAAGAAGCACCGGCUAACUCCGUGCCAGCAGCCGCGGUAAUACGGAGGGUGCAAGCGUUAAUCGGAAUUACUGGGCGUAAAGCGCACGCAGGCGGUCUGUCAAGUCGGAUGUGAAAUCCCCGGGCUCAACCUGGGAACUGCAUCCGAAACUGGCAGGCUAGAGUCUUGUAGAGGGGGGUAGAAUUCCAGGUGUAGCGGUGAAAUGCGUAGAGAUCUGGAGGAAUACCGGUGGCGAAGGCGGCCCCCUGGACAAAGACUGACGCUCAGGUGCGAAAGCGUGGGGAGCAAACA
rnacentral:rRNA from 1 species